UACCAAGGCAACGAUCUAUAGCUGGUCUGAGAGGACGAUCAGCCACAUCGGGACUGAGACACGGCCCGGACUCCUACGGGAGGCAGCAGUGAGGAAUAUUGCACAAUGGGGGAAACCCUGAUGCAGCAACGCCGCGUGGAGGAUGACGCAUUUCGGUGUGUAAACUCCUUUUAUAAGGGAAGAAAAUGACGGUACCUUAUGAAUAAGCACCGGCUAACUCCGUGCCAGCAGCCGCGGUAAUACGGAGGGUGCAAGCGUUACUCGGAAUCACUGGGCGUAAAGGACGCGUAGGCGGAUUGGAAAGUCAGAUGUGAAAUCCUACAGCUUAACUGUAGAACUGCAUUUGAAACUUCUAAUCUAGAGUAUGGGAGGGGGAGAUGGAAUUAGUGGUGUAGGGGUAAAAUCCGUAGAUAUCACUAGGAAUACCGAAAGCGAAGGCGAUCUCCUGGAACAUAACUGACGCUAAGGCGUGAAAGCGUGGGGAGCAAACGGGAUUAGAUACCCCGGUAGUCCACGCCCUAAACGAUGAACACUAGUCGUCGGGAUGCUAGUCAUCUCGGUGAUGCACUUAACAGAUUAAGUGUUCCGCCUGGGGAGUACGGUCGCAAGAUUAAAACUCAAAGGAAUAGACGGGGACCCGCACAAGUGGUGGAGCAUGUGGUUUAAUUCGAAGAUACGCGAAGAACCUUACCUAGCCUUGACAUUGAAGAAACACACUAGAGAUAGAGUGGUGCCCUUCGGGGAAUCUGAAAACAGGUGCUGCACGGCUGUCGUCAGCUCGUGUCGUGAGAUGUUGGGUUAAGUCCCGCAACGAGCGCAACCCUCGUCCUUAGUUGCCAGCAGGUUAAGCUGGGCACUCUAAGGAGACUGCCUUCGUAAGGAGGAGGAAGGUGAGGACGACGUCAAGUCAUCAUGGCCCUUAUGGCUAGGGCUACACACGUGCUACAAUGGGGCGUACAGAGAGUUGCGAUACCGCGAGGUGGAGCCAAUCUCAUAAAGCGUCUCUCAGUUCGGAUUGAAGUCUGCAACUCGACUUCAUGAAGCUGGAAUCACUAGUAAUCGUAGAUCAGCAAUGCUACGGUGAAUACGUUCCCGGGUCUUGUACUCACCGCCCGUCACACCAUGGGAGUUGAUUUCACCCGAAAUUGGGAAGCUAACCUUCGGGGGGCUACCACUUACGGUGGAAUUAGCGACUGGGGUGAAGUCGUAACAAGGUAACC
rnacentral:rRNA from 1 species